UUGAUUAGGUAAAUUAUGAUGAGAAACAUUGAAUGGAAGUUUUUGAGAAUGUGAAGAAAUAGUUCAUCUUCAACUCCCACCGCUUCUGAUUCUGCUUCUGAGUUCUGCGUACACAAAUACAACGUUGCAUUCGAAACUACAAAAAAGUUUGUUCGCGAUUUGGCAAUAUUAGGCGCGGCGAGAAUAUGAGUCCACCCGACGAAAAUCAACUACAGAAUGAUCCGAAACAUUUCUCAAUAAGACAGUACACACUUUCUUGUCGUCACAAGAACUUAUUUCAUUGCUGGCCAUUUCCAGUCAAGUAUCUGCUUCUAUGUCUGCACCAUGGUGUUAGCAAUAUUUUGCCACCACUCGAUCCCCCUCCCCGUGUCGUUCAGUCAUCCGAACAUAUCCGCUCGAUCAAUUGUACGAAGAAAGACAACAAAGGUAAUCCCAUUGCUGUAAAUGAUGAAGGGCCAGACAUCACAGAGGAUUCAGCUGGCAAAAGAUCAUAUAAUUCAUCAGGAAUUAUGUCCCCUGAUGUUUCUUAUAAUAUGCCAUGUCCUAAACGACAAGCUUCGGCUCCUACAACUCUGCAUUCAUGUCUAGAUAUCGAUAAACGGCAAAUUCGGUCAUCAUAUUGCUCGAGAAUGUUGAAGAAAAAUGACAGAAGUCGAAAAGGGAAGCGAAAGAAACGGUGGAUGGUGGAUAUUUUGGCUGUGGCAAAGCCUUGUAGUAUUCAGGAUCUCUAUACAAUGAAACAGAGAGAGUGAAAAUGGGUGCAACUCUGAACUUGCAGAAGAAUUCUCAAACCAAAAGCUUGAGACUAAUUCAUGGUUUUGAAGAAGGCUAAUCCGAAAAUUUGAAAGGUCGAAUUCAUAGGUUGCAGAUCCAAUUCCUAAAUCUCAAGUCAAAUUUGUCGGAGAGCUGCAAGAUAGAUGAAUUAGAUUAUUGAAGUUCAAGGAAGAGCCUUCUACAGUUAACAGCGGCAUUUCGGUUGGUAUUUAUUUUAAGCAAAGGGUAGCAUGUCGUUUCCUCUUUCAUUACUAUUACUUGAUUUAGCCUGCUGGACCAUAGAUAAGAUCGACAUGGGGCGAGAAAAGGAAAGACUUCCCUUGACUUGACACAUGAUAGCAUACUUCUGCCUCUUUCGUCAACUACUCGACUCAGCUUAUCCCAAGAUCCUAAUUAAUAUAUAGCUUGCCAUUCUUUGCAUUCAUGAGCCGCACGUAUUUAUUUAUUAUUUUGACUAGCCCAAGAUCAAUAAUAUUUUGUAAACACCUCCUUAAAUACCAGUUGCAUGUGGUCAUUUCUUCAUCUUC